GACGGGACCCGCACAAGCGGUGGAUGAUGUGGUUUAAUUCGAUGCAACGCGAAAACCUUACCCACCUUUGACAUGUACGGAAUUCUUCAGAGAUGAAGGAGUGCUCGAAAGAGAACCGUAACACAGGUGCUGCAUGGCUGUCGUCAGCUCGUGUCGUGAGAUGUUGGGUUAAGUCCCGCAACGAGCGCAACCCUUGUCAUUAGUUGCUACAUUCAGUUGGGCACUCUAAUGAGACUGCCGGUGACAAACCGGAGGAAGGUGGGGAUGACGUCAAGUCCUCAUGGCCCUUAUAGGUGGGGCUACACACGUCAUACAAUGGAUGGUACAAAGGGUCGCCAACCCGCGAGGGGGAGCCAAUCCCAUAAAGCCAUUCGUAGUCCGGAUCGCAGUCUGCAACUCGACUGCGUGAAGUCGGAAUCGCUAGUAAUCGUGGAUCAGAAUGUCACGGUGAAUACGUUCCCGGGUCUU
rnacentral:rRNA from 1 species